rfam:Homo sapiens chromosome 17, GRCh38 reference primary assembly.
GCUGGGCGUGGUAGCUCAUGCCUGUAAUCCCAGCUACUCGGGAGGCUGAGGCAGGAGAAUCACUUGAACCCGGGAGGCGGAGGUUGCAGUGAGCCAACAUCACACCGCUGCACUCCAGCCUGGGUGACAGAGUGAGACUCUGUCUCAA